CCUACGGGAGGCUGCAGUGAGGAAUAUUGGUCAAUGGGCGCGAGCCUGAACCAGCCAAGUAGCGUGAAGGAUGACUGCCCUACGGGUUGUAAACUUCUUUUAUAAAGGAAUAAAGUGAUGCACGUGUGCCUUUUUGUAUGUACUUUAUGAAAAAGGCUUGGCUAACUCCGUGCCAGCAGCCGCGGUAAUACGGGGGAUCAGCACGUUUGCCGGAUUUAUUGGGGUUAAAGGGAGAGGAGAGGGGUUGUUAAGUCAGUUGGGAAAGUUUGCGGCUCAACCGUAAAAUUGCAAUUGAUACUGGCAGUCUUGAGUACAGUUGAGGUAGGCGGAAUUCGUGGUGUAGCGGUGAAAUGCUUAGAUAUCACGAAGAACUCCGAUUGCGAAGGCAGCAUACUAAACUGCCACUGACAUUGAUGCUCGAAAGUGUGGGUAUCAAACAGGAUUAGAUACCCUAGUAGUC
rnacentral:rRNA from 1 species